AUGGCCUUCUCCUUGUUCCCAUGGCCAUUCCGCCAUCGAGCCAUCAGCAGCGGCAGCGGCGGAACCGGCCCAAGCAAACCCUCCGCCGCGGAGGGGAAGGAGGAGGACGCAGAGGAGCUCGGCGUCACGCCGCAGCUCCUUGACUUCCUCCGGACACUCUCCCCUGACGCCUUCAAGUCCUUCCCCUCCAUUCCCUCUCGAUUACUGGCGGUGCUAUGCUUUGUCGCAGGAGGAUCCACGGAGUCGGCGGUCGAGCUCUCGGACUGGCAGCAGCAGCACGCCGUCCUCGUGCUUGCCAGAGCCAAGGAACUCGCUAAGGUCCGCUAUGAUCUGUGCCCACGCCACAUGAAGGACAAGCAGUUCUGGACAUACAUCUUGUCAAAAUGCUCUGAUCAGAUUAGCAUAUACCGUGUGCUUCAUGCAUCCAAGAGACCAAGACGUCUUCUCUUCUCUAUGGAGAGAAGCUGA
rnacentral:rRNA from 1 species